CUCAGUUUAGUGCUCCACCAAUAUACCUCAUUUCUGGCAACCUUAUCAGAUCUAAUCUCCAUCAACAAUCUUGGAGCUACAAACUACUAAUAUAUGAUGAGUUAUUUGCAAGAAAAAGCACAACUUACAUAUAAGUACUAAGGAAGCAUUGAUGAGCAAUUUGUUUGGACUCCACUAGUUCAAGAGUGCAUAAUCUCGCUGUUUUCAAACAGGCGUAAUCGCGAAUCUUUAGUUUAUUUAGUGAAAAUUUGACCAUCCAGCUCCAAGACACGCACGAAAGCUGAAAUCCGAGGUCAUGGUGUGGCCCGGUGACCUAGAAAACUAUAUAAAAACAUAUUGUGCACACAUAUACUUCUCUCUUCCCAUCAUUCUCAUUCUUUUACUUGUAUUAUAAUGCCAAUUUGUCUUCUUUAGCAUGUAGCAGACUUAAAAUACCUCUCUGUAAUGGUAUAUGAUAGAAAAAUGAAGGUCUCACAUUGAGUUUGUGAAGAUUCCUAACAGUGCUCACUUCUCAGAAUCUGUCAUUUCCAUGGAGCAAUCUAGCCCAGGAUUGGAACGAUGGGUGCCAAGUCCAAACAGAGUUCUUCUGGUUUCUGACUGUAUGGUGAGUCUCAAACGGAGAACCUCAAGGUGCACGUUCAAGGACGUAAGUUUCCCCUCUGGUCGCGUCUUUGCAAAGCUAUAGCCGAAUGGACUUAUUUGACUAGUGCCAGAAGAAUCAAGAAUCAUGAUGGUCAGCUGCUGUUUUCCAGGUGAUCAGAAGUCUUAACAUCUAAUCAGUGCUGAUCAAGCCUGUGGGAGGAUGCUUCUGUUUCAUAGAAAAUGUACAAAAUUUCAUCUGCUUCAUGCCUGUCAGCUGUUUCUCCUCAUUUCAUAUCUUUUCCGUUGACACUCAAUAAUGAAGAAUCAAAUGUCAACUGUAUGUUGAGAUUCGUCUUCAUUGUGCUAAGGUAGAUUUUGUUGUUAUCGUCGUAUUAAUACGAUAACCACAAGGCUUUGAGUAUUUA